UGUGGGAUGUUGGAGGACCCCAGUGUAUUAUGGGAUGUUGGAGGACCCACGUGGGGGUCCCGUGCCAUUAUGGGAUUUUAGAUGACCACGGGGCAUUAUGGGAUGUUGGAGGACUCCAAUGUAUUAUGGGAUGUUGGAGGACCCAGGCGGGGGUCCUGUGCCAUUAUGGGAUGUUUGUGCCCCCCGCAGGGCCUGGUGGACCCCCACUCUGAGCGCGCCCGGCUCCGCACCCGCAGCCUCAGCCUCCAGCGCCGCCUCCGCACCCUCAGCCCUGGGGGGGACCCCCCAUCAUCCUCCCCCGACCAGCGCCAGGUUUGCAGCCUCCGCUCGGAGCUCGCCCUCCUCACCCUAGCACUGGAAGCCUUGGGACCCCCCCAGGAGGAAGGGGGAUCCCCCCAGGAUGGAGAACCCUAAUAAAACCCCAUAGGAAAAGCC